rnacentral:snRNA from 1 species
AUAAGUAGCUCACAAUAGCUACUUAUCAGUUUAAUAUCUGACACGUGGACCAAUGAUUCACACGAUAUUAAAUUAAUUUUUUGAAGGGGUGAGUCCGCCACAAUAGCUUGCUAUUGGGGCUCACGCGUGUCAUCCUUGUGUUGCACUACAGCAAGGGUUGGCGCACCCUAU